UACGUAGGGGGCAAGCGUUGUCCGGAUUUAUUGGGCGUAAAGAGCGUGUAGGCGGCCAGGUAGGUCCGUUGUGAAAACUCGAGGCUCAACCUCGAGACGCCGAUGGAAACCAUCUGGUCUAGAGCGAAGAGGAGAGUGGAAUUCCCGGUGUAGCGGUGAAAUGCGCAGAUAUCGGGAAGAACACCCGUGGCUAAGGCGGCUCUCUAGUACGGUACUGACGCUGAGACGCGAAAGCGUGGGGAGCGAACGAGGA
rnacentral:rRNA from 1 species